CGAUCUGCUGGGGACAGAUAAAAUGAAUAUGGGUAUCGAUUCCUCCCGCCGUCACGAUCAUUCCCUCGCCCGCCAGGGCUUCCGUGGAGGCUCCAACCGUCAUUCCCGGAGUCACUCCGUCCAUCACGCUUGGAUUUCCUGCUUUUCCGAUUCCUUUUAUCUUUCCGUCCUUGAUUCCGAUAUCCGCCUUGAUGAUGCCAGUGCUGUCCACGAUCAGGGCGUUUGUAAUAACAAGAUCCAGGUCGCCGUCGGCGCUGGUUGUUUUUACGGACUGUCCCAUUCCGUCACG
rnacentral:sRNA from 1 species